rnacentral:rRNA from 1 species
ACGAACGCUGGCGGCGUGCUUAACACAUGCAAGUCAGGGGGCCCGCAAGGGUCACCGGCGAACGGGUGCGUAACACGUGAGCGACCUGCCCUGGUGUGGGGGAUAGCCGGCCCAACGGCCGGGUAAUACCGCAUACGGCUCUGGCUUGGAAGCCAGGAGCGAAACCCGCAAGGGGCGCUAGGAGGGGCUCGCGGCCUAUCAGCUAGUUGGUGCGGUAACGGCGCACCAAGGCUUUGACGGGUAGCUGGUCUGAGAGGAUGGCCAGCCACAUUGGGACUGAGAAACGGCCCAGACUCCUACGGGAGGCAGCAGUGGGGAAUCUUGCGCAAUGGCCGAAAGGCUGACGCAGCGACGCCGCGUGGGGGAUGAAGGCCUUCGGGUUGUAAACCCCUGUUGCUCGGGACGAACAACACCUUUCGAGGUGUCUGACGGUACCGGGUGAGGAAGCACCGGCUAACUCUGU